CACAUGCAGUCGAACGAUGAACCUCACUUGUGGGGGGAUUAGUGGCGAACGGGUGAGUAACACGUGAGUAACCUGCCCUUGACUCUGGGAUAAGCCUGGGAAACCGGGUCUAAUACUGGAUACGACCUUCCCGCGCAUGCGGUGUUGGUGGAAAGCUUUUGCGGUUUUGGAUGGACUCGCGGCCUAUCAGCUUGUUGGUGGGGUAAUGGCCUACCAAGGCGACGACGGGUAGCCGGCCUGAGAGGGUGACCGGCCACACUGGGACUGAGACACGGCCCAGACUCCUACGGGAGGCAGCAGUGGGGAAUAUUGCACAAUGGGCGCAAGCCUGAUGCAGCGACGCCGCGUGAGGGAUGAAGGCCUUCGGGUUGUAAACCUCUUUCAGUAGGGAAGAAGCUGGCCCUUGGGUUGGUGACGGUACCUGCAGAAGAAGCGCCGGCUAACUACGUGCC
rnacentral:rRNA from 1 species